UACAGAGGGUGCGAGCGUUAAUCGGAAUUACUGGGCGUAAAGCGCGCGUAGGCGGCUUUUCAAGUCGAUUGUGAAAUCCCCGGGCUUAACCUGGGAACUGCAGUCGAGACUGUCUAGCUAGAGUAUGGGAGAGGGAAGUGGAAUUUCAGGUGUAGCGGUGAAAUGCGUAGAUAUCUGAAGGAACAUCAGUGGCGAAAGCGACUUCCUGGACAAAUACUGACACUCAUGUGCGAAAGCGUGGGGAGCAAACAGG
rnacentral:rRNA from 1 species